AACGAACGCUGGCGGCAGGCUUAACACAUGCAAGUCGAGCGAGACCUUCGGGUCUAGCGGCGGACGGGUGAGUAACGCGUGGGAACGUGCCCUUCUCUACGGAAUAGCCCCGGGAAACUGGGAGUAAUACCGUAUACGCCCUUUGGGGGAAAGAUUUAUCGGAGAAGGAUCGGCCCGCGUUGGAUUAGGUAGUUGGUGGGGUAGUGGCCCACCAAGCCGACGAUCCAUAGCUGGUUUGAGAGGAUGAUCAGCCACACUGGGACUGAGACACGGCCCAGACUCCUACGGGAGGCAGCAGUGGGGAAUCUUAGACAAUGGGGGCAACCCUGAUCUAGCCAUGCCGCGUGAGUGAUGAAGGCCUUAGGGUUGUAAAGCUCUUUCAGCUGGGAAGAUAAUGACGGUACCAGCAGAAGAAGCCCCGGCUAACUCCGUGCCAGCAGCCGCGGUAAUACGGAGGGGCUAGCGUUGUUCGGAAUUACUGGGCGUAAAGCGCACGUAGGCGGACUGGAAAGUCAGAGGU
rnacentral:rRNA from 1 species